rnacentral:lncRNA from 1 species
GCUGCGUAUAUUUUACCUAUGGCUGGCCCCGGGAAUCGAACCCACAACCCUGGUGUUGCAAGCUCUAUACUCUACCAACUGAUCCAUACAGGAUAACUACUAACAUACUGACUACACCAAGCUCAACAUGUGGGAGGGUGUGGCCGGUGUAGUCAGGGGGGUUUUGAUCAGAACAACAACAUGUUUUAUUGUUUUCAUUCUGGCCGUUAACCUCCAGGUGUUAGCUAAGACUCUCUGUCUCUCUCACUCUCCUUUUCUCCCUCUGUCUCCUUUUCUCCCUCUGUCUCCUUUUCUCCCUCCCUCUGUCUCCUUUUCUCCCUCUGUGUCCUUUUCUCCCUCCCCCUGUCUCCUUUUCUCCCCCUGUCUCCUUUUCUCCCUCUGUCUCCUUUUCUCCCUCCCCCUGUCUCCUUUUCCCCCCCUGUCUCCUUUUCUCCCUCUGUGUCCUUUUCUCCCUCUGUCUCCUUUUCUCCCUCCCCCUGUCUCCUUUUCCCCCCCUGUCUCCUUUUCUCCCUCUGUCUCCUUUUCUCCCUCUGUCUCCUUUUCUCCCUCUGUCUCCUUUUCUCCCUCUGUCUCCUUUUCUCCCUCUGUCUCCUUUUCUCCCUCUGUCUCCUUUUCUCCCUCUCUCUCCCCGACUCCUUUCCUCCCUCUUUCUCUCCUUUUCUCCGUCUCUCUCUUUUUCUCCCACUCUCCUUUUCACACUCUCUUCUUUUCUCUCCCUCCGUCUCCUUUUCUCCCCCUGUCUCCUUUUCUCUCCCUCCUUCUUCUACUCUUUCUCCCUCCUCUCUCUAUCUAUCCUCCCUCUCUCCAUUAUCUCUCAUCUCUUUCAGGCACGGACCUAAUUGAAUCCAAAUGGCAGUAUCUGCAGAAAGUUCAGGUUGAUAAUGGCUGUCUUGUCUGGUAACAACUUGUUGCAUUUAAUUGACAGGAACAUUGGAUCUCUUCAUUCUGUCUGAGUGAUUUUUAAAGGGGGAAUCUGGGAUUCAAAAUAUCCCACAUUGGCAAUAAA